rnacentral:rRNA from 1 species
CAGUAGCCGCGGUAAUACGUAGGGUGCAAGCGUUAAUCGGAAUUACUGGGCGUAAAGCGUGCGCAGGCGGUUAUAUAAGACAGAUGUGAAAUCCCCGGGCUCAACCUGGGAACUGCAUUUGUGACUGUAUAGCUAGAGUACGGCAGAGGGGGAUGGAAUUCCGCGUGUAGCAGUGAAAUGCGUAGAUAUGCGGAGGAACACCGAUGGCGAAGGCAAUCCCCUGGGCCUGUACUGACGCUCAUGCACGAAAGCGUGGGGAGCAAACAGGAUUAGAUACCCCAGUAGUCCCUGUCUCUUAUAU